AAAAUAUAGUAUAAUUUAAUACAUCUCACUUACACUGAGAAUAUGCUUCAAUAUUAUGAGCUAUUUU
rnacentral:tRNA from 1 species